ACACACAUUUUCGUCCAGUUGAUGAAUUAACACUAAACAAGUUCUUCAUUCUUCUGUUAUUGAACUAUAAAAAGAUGAAGAGAAUCGCGUUCCUCGUGUUAGCUCUUAUCGCUAAUGUAAUUGCAGAUGAAAAGGAGAACAUACAAAAGUAGAGACAUUUUUCCAAACCGAUACACAAACGGUUGAAUCAUGUCUGAAUAAAGCUGGGACAAAUAUGGAGAAGGUAUAUAUUGCAAUGAACAAGUGGGACAAAAUCACAGAAGAUAGAGACAUCAACAAAGAAACUGAAGAGUCACUUACAACAAGCGGAGAUUUUAUAGCAUGCUUAUUGGAGAAAAAGAUAUGAUGAAAGACUCGAAGCUAGUUGUAGACAGAAUACUAAAAUUGUUUCAUAAAGGACUACUAAACAAAGAAAGUUUGACGCCAUGCCUGACUUCAUUAAACGAAAAUGUCGAAUUGACUCGAGAAAUUAGGGCCUUCGCAUUUUUGUUUUGCCCAUUUGAAAAUAUGGGUGCAAGCGAAAAAUAGAACAAUGGAAAGAACACUUGCGUGACAUAUAACAUUAGAUUGGAAGAAUUGCGAUAUUUCCUACAAUGUAAUGAUAAUAUCAUAAAAAAUUCCAUCACCUUAGUUUAUGAAAAA